GAGUUUGAUCAUGGCUCAGGAUAAACGCUGGCGGCGUGCCUAACACAUGCAAGUCGAACGCUCUCGCACUCGCAAGGGUGAGAGGGAGUGGCGCACGGGUGAGUAAGACAUGGGUGACCUGCCCUUAAGUGAGGAAUACCACCGGGAAACCGGUGACAAUACCGCAUAGGCUCGCUCGAUCAAUGAGCGAGCAAAGCUCCUUUCGCAAGAGGGGGGCGCUUGAGGAGGGGCUCGUGGCCGAUUAGCUGGCUGGUGGGGUAAUGGCCUACCAGGGCGACGAUCGGUAGCUGGUCUGAGAGGACGAGCAGCCACACUGGGACUGAGACACGGCCCAGACUCCUACGGGAGGCAGCAGUGGGGAAUUUUGGACAAUGGGCGCAAGCCUGAUCCAGCAAUGCCGCGUGCAGGAUGAAGGCCUUCGGGUUGUAAACUGCUUUUGUACGGAACGAAACGGUCUGCCCUAAUACGGCGGGCUAAUGACGGUACCGUAAGAAUAAGCACCGGCUAACUACGUGCCAGCAGCCGCGGUA
rnacentral:rRNA from 1 species